rnacentral:rRNA from 1 species
AGAGUUUGAUCCUGGCUCAGAGCGAACGCUGGCGGCAGGCCUAACACAUGCAAGUCGAGCGCCCCGCAAAGGGAGCGGCAGACGGGAGAGUAACACGUGGGAACGUACCCUUCAGUUCGGAACAACCCAGGGAAACUUGGGCUAAUACCGAAUACGUCCGUAAGGAGAAAGAUUUAUCGCUGAAGGAUCGGCCCGCGUCUGAUUAGCUUGUUGGUGAGGUAACGGCUCACCAAGGCUACGAUCAGUAGCUGGUCUGAGAGGAUGAUCAGCCUCACUGGGACUGAGACACGGCCCAGACUCCUACGGGAGGCAGCAGUGGGGAAUAUCGGACAAUGGGCGCAAGCCUGAUCCAGCCAUGCCGCGUGGGUGAUGAAGGCCCUAGGGUUGUAAAGCCCUUCGGCGGG